rnacentral:misc_RNA from 1 species
UUUAGUUUUGAUUGUGUUUUCGCUCAGACUGCAUGGAAUAAUCGGGGUUUGGAGGUCCUCUGGCGAGCGCGGUCCGGCGGCGGGCGUUGGGCCCAGUGCCGGCUUCGCGGGGCGAAACCCCGUGAAGGCUCGCCGAAGCAACAAAGGUAGAUAUACAAAGGGUGAAGAGUUUGGAGGCCGGAGCCUCCGGGAGCGAGUGGCUCCCUUUCUCUUUAAUGAUCCUUCCGCAGGUUCACCUACGGAAA